GUGUGCAUACAUGGGGGUCCAUUCCCCCAAGACUAGGCUAGGCUGGGAGAGGAGGUGGAAGGUCUGUACGGAGCAGGUCCCGGUAGUCCUUGACAGCUGUUCUCUGGGCUCUCCCAUCUGCACUGGGAAAGAGAGCCUCCAGGCUGGUGAGCUGUGCUCAGUGGCUGACUGAGCGCCUUUAGUAAGCUGUUUACAUCUCUGCUGAAUCACAGGAGGGAAUCCCGGUUCACUCUUGGGAGUUUUGCCACCAAAAUGUUGCAGGACUUUAUGUCGUGGAGGUCCCCAGGGACUCUGAGCGUCUGUAUGUUUACCCCACUCUCCCCCACCCAGUCUUAGCUUGGCUUUUGUGCUUUUGUGUCUCUUUCUGUGGCUCCUAGCACUCAUCAGCAUGAGUAAAGCAAACGCUUGCUGACUGACACCUGGAUGGAUAAAGGAACCAAUUCCUGUCACAAGAGUGGAAGCUAAACAAGCCUUCAGCCUGUUUUCUGAGCCUAUGAAAGACGGAGGCACAGGGACUGAAGGAACGGAGUUGAGGUUUCACCUUCGAGGGUUCCCCAGACCCGACCCACCAGCUGCGAUUGAGAUGGGCACAGCUCAGGGCUCCAGUUUGAGACACUCCACUGCCUGGGCUCAGGAGCUCAAGAUCGAGAGGAUUUUGUUGAGCGCCCGCCUGAGCGUACCUCCACUUCCCUGAGCAAAGGCAGCAAGAGCUACUGGUCUGAGGGUCAGCGGGGCGUGCCUGCCACCACCACCACCAACUGAGGCUCUCUCCUAAAAUGACACUCACACCCGUUCUCCACCAAGCUUCUCUGGGCCUCGUCCUUCUACCUCACAACCUCUUGAACUUGAACCUUUAGAGACUUCUGGAAAUUCUGUUAAGGUCACACAGCUAGUGGGAAGGCAAGCUGGCUCAAAGCCAGUGUGUUAAGCUUUUUCCCCUAGACAUACACAGGGCAGGGAACACACCCAUAGGCUUGGGCUCUGUGACUCUGCCAUCAGCUGUCAGGUUGAGGACCUCAAACAUCUGGCUCAGCAGAUACGACAGAUCAAGUGGGGCUGCAGCUGUUCUGAAGGGAGGGGCUGUCCCUCCUGUUAGGGUGUGACCCUUUUCUAGGAGAACUCGGGUUUUUUCAUCAAUAUAGGCAGGGAGAAAAUUUUCUCAACAAGGAAGGGGUCCUUAUGGGCUGGGAGGGGGGGCCUGGACAGACAGGGUUGGGUCAGCCAGAGACAGGAAACCUAGGGGAUUCCAAGGAAGGGCAGGGACAGGACAGAGGAGGCUGGUCACAUAAGCCUUCUUCGGCCCUCAGGUGUCCAACACUGCCUUUUCCACAGAUAGUCACUGGAAAGUAAGUCAUAUCAGAUACAUAUCCUUUUGCCUUAGCCUCCAAGGUCCACACAAGGCCCUCAGGUGAGCAACAUCUGUCUCCCCCAGAGAUGUUUACUAGGAAAUUGGAUGUAUCAGAUGUACAACCUUUGCCAGGUUCAGGGCUCUGUCACUAGUGAUGUCAAUACCAACUGCUAUUUCAGUUUAAUUUUUUUCUUUUUCUCUUAUUCACACAC
rnacentral:lncRNA from 1 species